GGUAAUUCUUAGAGGGAGAGAAAAGAUGGGAAGAAAAUUUAAAACAGAAAGAUGUUGAAGGUCAGCAGCACAGGCCCAACUGGAUGAACUUCGAUUCCUUUUAUUAAAAGCCAGAGAAGUGUGAGAAAUGCUCACCCAUCUGAAUUCAAAGAAUGGACUCGGAGACAGAAGUAUGGCAAAAACGAGACUUUUAAUAUGUUUUCGAGAGCGGGUGUCCAUCCCAUUGUACAGGAGCUGCCAAGGAGGACAGCCACCUCACACCAGACCAGGUUCAUAGCUUAAACCAGCAGGGACCAGCUGGAUCCAACAUGACAACUCAUUUCACCUGACGGUAAGCGCUAGCUGGAUCACAUGCUCACUGUACAUCAGCUGGCUGAAGGACACUCCACAUGCCACCAUAAUCCGAGAUGGAAAGCCCAUAUAAGGACACAAGUGGCCACAGAGUUCCUCAGAGAAGUCUCCACUCUUUCCCGGGAAGAUCCUGAAUAUUCCUUCCCAUCCUUGAAUACCCUAGCCCCCUCUCCCCCCAUUAAAUGAACCUCAAUAAAUGAAGCAAAUUCAGCUAA